rnacentral:lncRNA from 1 species
CUUGAAUUCAUGUUUUGUGGUUAUAAUGAUCUCAUCGAUUGCUUGUAACUUGUUGGCCGAUGAAUCAGUGAAGCAUCAAAAUAAUAUGUAUGAAAGGCAAAGGGUGUCCAUUUAGGCUUGUACUCAACUGUUUGAUAUCCUCUUUAAAUUUCUCUAAUAUUGUCCCAAGAGUUCAGUUAGAUUCUUCAGUCAAUGUUUCAAGUUUUAUAUUUACAUUUGAUGAAUUCUUUUUAAUUUUUAUCUUAUUUGCUGAUUGAUUAGCUACCAAGAGAGAUGCCUGCUUUAGAGGCAAACAAGGUGCUUUUUCUGGUUAGGAUUCCUUUUCCUACGAAAAAGUUUAUGGGUUUUCAUGGGUAGCUCCAGUUCGUCGCAGUUUGACGUUUUUUGGUCGUUUUAGUAAUGUAAGAAAACCUUUCACUCUCCAGUCUUGGAACUAAAGGAACUAUUGCAAAGUUGAAUAGUCUUGACCUUGUUUUUGAUGUAGAAAUGGUAAAACACGUCAAAUUUGUUGUCUACCUGCUCAUCUAUUGUAGAAUUAUAGUCUUAGAUAAGCUGUCUCUUGUCAUAUUUGAAUUGAUAUUUGUCCUCUUGCAACAUAAAGAUUGAAAUUUGUGUUUGAUUUCUUGAAGCUGUUAAAUGAAGAAGACAUCACCGACUUUCCAAAUUAAUCCAUCUUCUCUGUCGACAUACUAUAAGAUGCUGGAAGUCUCUAAACUUCUUGCCUAUCCACCUCCAUGAUUUGAUGAAUCUAGAGGCCAUUUUUACCUCCAUAUUGGAAGAAGCUGUUAAAACAUGAUCUGACAUGAAUGUCCAUACACCAAUAUUUGAAGGUUAUAUUUUAUCCAGCACCUUGAAGUUUAAUUGACCUCUUCCAGACUAUUAAGUUCCUAUCUGGAAACUGUCAUCUACAUUGUUACACUUCAAAUCUUAUGAUUAGUUCCAAUUAUCUCAGCAAUAAGGACAUAUUUCCUAUUAAAUACCAAUAGCUGUUGUAAUUUAACAGAUAUAGUUUUGUUGGAAAGUUUUGAAUGAAUUAAUCUGUGACGAUUCUUGGACCAGGGUUUUAUAUUAGCCUCUAUUUCAAGUUCUGAUUCUUAACUUGUAGUUGUGUACUUUAGGCAAUGUAACCAGCAAUGUCUCCUUUGCUGUUGUUGCUAUCUCAUUCAAUCACACAAUUAAAGGUAAUGCUCAACCUAAAAUACAGGUGUAGAGAUGGCAUCAUUGACUGGGUUGUCUUUCAACUAGAUUGCCUUCAUUAGUGCUUUGAUUUCCAAUAUCUCCUUCACUUGCAGGAGCAUAUAUUCAAAGAAAGCUAUGGUUAAUUGGGUGAGGUAUAUUUUAUUAGAUUUCCAUUUUAUCUUGAUGUUAUGAAAGUUGUAAAUAGGCAGAGUGCAGUCUGCAUUCACACACUGGGGCUAUUCGUCUCUAAUCAAUGCUUCUUUUGCAGACCGAUAAGGAUAGCAC